GACGAACGCUGGCGGCGCGCCUAACACAUGCAAGUCGAACGAGCGUGAGAGAGCUUGCUUUCUCAAGCGAGUGGCGAACGGGUGAGUAACGCGUGAGGAACCUGCCUCAAAGAGGGGGACAACAGUUGGAAACGACUGCUAAUACCGCAUAAGCCCACGACCCGGGCAUCGGGUAGAGGGAAAAGGAGCAAUCCGCUUUGAGAUGGCCUCGCGUCCGAUUAGCUAGUUGGUGAGGUAAUGGCCCACCAAGGCGACGAUCGGUAGCCGGACUGAGAGGUUGAACGGCCACAUUGGGACUGAGACACGGCCCAGACUCCUACGGGAGGCAGCAGUGGGGAAUAUUGCACAAUGGGGGAAACCCUGAUGCAGCGACGCCGCGUGGAGGAAGAAGGUCUUCGGAUUGUAAACUCCUGUUGUUGAAGAAGAUAAUGACGGUACUCAACAAGGAAGUGACGG
rnacentral:rRNA from 1 species